GCAAGAGCACAAGAAAAAAUAUCCGAGCACGGGAAAAACAAAAAAUAGAAAUCCGAGGAACGAACCAAGCCUCACCCAAGGACAGCAGUCUAUACUUCCUCUGUGGUGUGUCUCACACUAUGAAGUGCAUAACAGAUCAUCUGCUUCGUCACAAGUACGGCAUGAAUGGCGAACAUAAAAUCAACUAUGACCGUUACUGUAUACUUCAGGAGGUCAACAGCGAGCAGCAGCUCCGUGUAGUACCAAAACUGACAAGAGAGCAUGUGAACCCCGACACUUUGAGAAAAAUGAAUCUGCGGCUGGCUGUUCAGGCAGGUGUAAUUGCACACAUUCUUGUUGCUCUUAAGUUAUGGUGAAAUUGUUGCAUGCGUAGCAGAACAUGUCUAAAAUUGUUGCGUUCUUUGCAGCUUUUCAGCCGAAGCACUGACAUUGGCCUAAACAUGCACAGAAGACUUCAACAUCCCGGCCUUGAAAACUGUGAUGGAACAGCGCCGUUCACAUUACUGGUGAACGAUCUCUUUGAUGGCCUAAAAAGAAGCUGACACGUUUUGGGAUAGGAAGCUCAUCAAAAGAAAUUGAUGGGUUCUUCGGAGUCACUAGAUGCAUGGAAGGGGAUGAAGACCACCUGACUAUCAUGAGCUCGCAUAUAUGCACACUUUU